CGAGGGGGGGCGUGCUUACACAUGCAAGUCGAACGCUGAAGCACCAGCUUGCUGGUGUGGAUGAGUGGCGAACGGGUGAGUAAUACGUGAGUAACCUGCCCUUGACUCUGGGAUAAGCCCGGGAAACUGGGUCUAAUACUGGAUGCUACAUGUCACCGCAUGGUGGUGUGUGGAAAGGGUUUACUGGUCUUGGAUGGGCUCACGGCCUAUCAGCUUGUUGGUGAGGUAAUGGCUCACCAAGGCGACGACGGGUAGCCGGCCUGAGAGGGUGACCGGCCACACUGGGACUGAGACACGGCCCAGACUCCUACGGGAGGCAGCAGUGGGGAAUAUUGCACAAUGGGCGAAAGCCUGAUGCAGCGACGCCGCGUGAGGGAUGACGGCCUUCGGGUUGUAAACCUCUUUCAGCAGGGAAGAAGCCACAAGUGACGGUACCUGCAGAAGAAGCGCCGGCUAACUACGUGCCAGCAGCCGCGGUAAUACGUAGGGCGCAAGCGUUGUCCGGAAUUAUUGGGCGUAAAGAGCUCGUAGGCGGUUUGUCGCGUCUGCUGUGAAAGCCCGGGGCUUAACCCCGGGUGUGCAGUGGGUACGGGCAGACUAGAGUGCAGUAGGGGAGACUGGAAUUCCUGGUGUAGCGGUGGAAUGCGCAGAUAUCAGGAGGAACACCGAUGGCGAAGGCAGGUCUCUGGGCUGUUACUGACGCUGAGGAGCGAAAGCAUGGGGAGCGAACAGGAUUAGAUACCCUGGUAGUCCAUGCCGUAAACGUUGGGCACUAGGUGUGGGGGACAUUCCACGUUUUCCGCGCCGUAGCUAACGCAUUAAGUGCCCCGCCUGGGGAGUACGGCCGCAAGGCUAAAACUCAAAGGAAUUGACGGGGGCCCGCACAAGCGGCGGAGCAUGCGGAUUAAUUCGAUGCAACGCGAGAACCUUACCAAGGCUUGACAUAUACCCGGAUCGUUCCAGAGAUGGGUUCUUCCCCUUUGGGGUCGGUAUACAGUGG
rnacentral:rRNA from 1 species